AGCAGACUGCAACUACUGUCAGUCGUUCGGUAGACGUAUAGUACGAUGAGCGUGAUUAGUGCGCGAGCUAGAAUUGGGUGACUUACUUUCGCUUUUUCUCCCGUGCUCCCUUUUACAAGGAAUGAUUUUCGACACCACCGAGACACCAUCUACUCCGUUCCGAUGGGAGAGUGCGUUAAGUCGUGUUGUUAUUGCUGCGCAACGUGCUACAAUACACCGAUCUGCUGUGUCGGAAGCUUGUGCUGUCUGCUAAUACCACUGCUCGGUUUGCUAAUCAUUCUGUGUGGGCUAGUGUUUGGGAUGAUCGUAGGGCUAGCCUGGCUGGCCCAAAACCAUUCCGAGCCGGAAACUGUCGGCCGUAUGCUUGCGCUUCUGAGAAAUAGUUCCGCCAGUGAGACUUUCACCACGGACGGCCAUGCUGUUGUGGAGUAGGACAGAAAGCUGGGCUGCGGUACGAUGGACGUCGGUGUGCAGGUUCUUAUCGUUCCAUUAUUGCCUUCGCCGAUCAGAGCAGUACACGGUCCACACAAAACAAACACACAUGCUGAAGGUGGUAGUAGAUGUGUUUGCACGAUUGUAUGUAGCUACAAAGUGGACGCCUUUUGAGUUGAUAGACUGAUGUGUUUCGAGUGCCAAAACACAAAAGAUGCAUUAUAUUAAGUGCAAGGUGGAGAAUUUCAUCCAUCUGUUGGAGAGGAAUUUCGCAUGCCAUCCACGUGCAGGUAGCACCCCUUAAGACGGCUGAUGGUCGGAUGGUCAAGGAAAAAUGUCGGCGUACACCGCCGACACAACGCAUAGCGUCGUUACGGCAGAUGCCACCUUCAAGAUUAGAUUUCCCGAGAUAUCCCCCGACCAGUAACCGCCAUCCACCAGUAGCAACCGAGAACCACGCAUAGGAUAUAGGUCAGCAGGUUGAAGAACGUAAAGGGGUUAGCGUAAUUAGCAUGCAGAUUGCGAAUACGAUCGAUGCGGGUCACCUCCGAAAAAUGGGCGCGAGUGAGAGAGAGGAAGAGGGAGAUUGAUGAUGAAGCUUUAGCAACUGUGCCGUGACGGACGGACGGAGGGGUAGCGUGUGAGAAACUAGUCAUACUUAUCAGCUUUAUCGAAGAUAGUGUAAAGAUAGUGCCAGUAUGCAAGCAAAGCAGGUACCAAUCUUACGAAACGGCCACGGGGUACAACAAAAUCUAACCCGCACUUCCCCAAUGACCGAUCGGUCGGUUUAAUUCGAUCGUACGGCAGUAAAUCCUACGCUCCAAUUAGCAGCUGCGCCGGCGAUGCACUUGCGAGCAGCAUAAACCGGCAGCAUAAUCGAACCCAUGAGCAUGACUCUAUGUGUGUGUGUGUGUGUGCAAUAAUUUCGCCACCGCAGUCCACGCCACCGCCACACUGCACCAUCACUGUCACUUUCACAUGACGGGUGAAUAUACUGAGUGCUGCCGCGGAUUUGUUUGCAUCCACACGGCUCGACUCGGCACGUUACAUAAAACCGACACCGUGCCGUUGCAACGCCAAAUGCACCACAUAAAAUGGUACGACCGCGGCAAACACAGCCAAACAAUUCAAACCCCAUGGUUGGUCCAAUUUCAACCCACCUUGCGGUGCGGGGUUGGUAGCACGGGAGAGCAUAGAACAGCGGAGCGGUGCCGGGAUAGGGAAAACCCGACAGGAAGAAAUGGCCAGCACCUACAGCUUGAAACCCCCGGUUGGAUAGAGCUUGCCGGAUUUUGGUGUCGUUUUAUGAUUUUUUAAUUUAAAUUUUCAUUCGGCUGCGAAUCGGAAUACGUUGCUGGUGCCCUCCAAAAAGAAGUCAGGGUUUUCACACAACGCAACAUGGAGGAGCAACCCGUACUGGAUGCUGUAGAUGCCCAUUAAUGUGUACGCAUAAUAUUUACGCAAAUUGGUGCUUUCUUCCGAGCAGGAGCCGCUGGGUCUGGUCGGGUCACGGGGAUUGACAUGAUUGAUUGGUGGAAAGUGGAUGAGGGAUAUCAAGGCUGGUGCUUGGAUUUGGGUGUGGUUAGGGAGAAAAAAUGUAAAUCUUAAAAAUACCCCCAAUUUAAAGCAGUUACCCAAAGUGAAGGAGAUAAGUGAGAGUUUUAUGGAGCAAUUCCCACAGGGGCUGGUUAUGUUAACGAAUUUACUAAGUAUAGGUUAUAGUGCAGGAUAAAGGCGAGCGGUUUAGAACCUUCGAACAGCUUACAAAGAACGAUCUAUAAUCAUACAGGUAGCAACAGAUAGUACACUCGCACUCAAUUAAAGGUGAUAUACUUUAGCAGCAUUUCUUUUUCUUAAGACUAGCCUAGCAUCCAUCACGAGGAUAACGAGGAUAGCGAAUCGGACUCGGAAAGGACAAGCGAUAAAUAUAAAUAAUUCACCACCGGCAAGUGAUUUUAGUCCAUAAAAUUCAUUCAGUUUCAGUCGUGCUAUGAUGAAAUUGAAAAAAAAAACAUCGUUAAAGCCUUCCUGCCAAUGGCCAUUAUCCACGCAGACGAAGGAAACAUAUUCAUUACAACGUGCCACCUGGAGCUGCAUACCUCUGUUUGUAUGCAUAUUGUAAGUGCGUAUCGACUUACACGUCAAUUACCUCAUGCAGCAGAUUGGGGUCUCGUGGUGAGUCACAACGCGGAUCCCAACGGACCAAGCUGGUGCUGAAGUUGACCUCACACUGUGCUGCUAAAACCCAUGUGGCACGUAAAAGAUCAACGAUGUCUUAAAUCACGGGGAGAUCUUCGACGUAUUAAGUGCGGAGGAGAGAGUUUUUUUUUUUUAACGCCCGUUGGCCAUCGCACGGUGGGCAUGGUUGAA